CCCCCUGGCGCUGCUCAGCCUCGAGCUGGGAACCGAUGACGUCAUCACCGACCUCGUGCGCCUCGUGCUGGCCCUGCAGGACGCGGCUCAGGAGGAGCCGCAGCUGCCGGAGCUGUCGCGCUGCGUGCUGCCCGCGCUCGGAGCCGCGCUCCUGCUGCUCCUGGGCCACCUGCUCGCGGUCCCUCCCUUCCUGCAGCACGUCCAGGAGGUGAUCGAGGCGCGGCAGCGCUCGGCUCCGUUCCUGCUGCCCGAGGAGGCCCUGGGGGACAACCCCCGG